UUGCUUUAACUCUCUGUCUCCGUUUUUCCAGGAACCCAAAACCACCCGAAGCUGAAUCAGAUGAGCGAAGGCCUCUCUUGACCUUGCUGGAGGUCACACUCCUUUGCACUCGACAGGCAGUUAAACACAGUUCCCUGAUUCCAGGCACGGAACUCACAGCAAGAGAACAAGUCAUCUGUGUCACCAGAACACUGAUUAACAGAAAACGUUAAUGCUCAGAGAAGGAAAUGAUACACUGAACUACUUCAGGAAUAAAUCAUUAUUUCUGUUCUUCAAAAUCAGUUAUAAAACCAGUCUGGCUCAACAAAGUGUUCGCCACGGAGCGGCCCAUAGUGGAGUUCGCCCUGCUGGGCAGCGGCCCAUGACAUCUGUAAACUGCUGAACUGAGCUGCCCAGGUCCCUUUUGGAUCUACCACCACCACCCCGCC